CACAGUGUAGCAAUACAUGGGUGGCGACCGGCAAACGGGUGCGGAACACGUACGCAACCUUCCUUCAGGCGGGGAAUAGCCCAGAGAAAUUUGGAUUAAUACCCCAUAAUAUUUUGAGAUGGCAUCAUCUUAUUAUUAAAGCUACGGCACCUGGAGAUGGGCGUGCGGCUGAUUAGGUAGUUGGCGGGGUAAUGGCCCACCAAGCCUACGAUCAGUAGCUGAUGUGAGAGCAUGAUCAGCCACACGGGCACUGAGACACGGGCCCGACUCCUACGGGAGGCAGCAGUAAGGAAUAUUGGUCAAUGGACGCAAGUCUGAACCAGCCAUGCCGCGUGGAGGAUGAAGGUCCUCUGGAUUGUAAACUUCUUUUAUCUGGGACGAAAAAAGGGUUUUCUAACUCGUCUGACGGUACCAGAUGAAUAAGCACCGGCUAACUCCGUGCCAGCAGCCGCGGUAAUACGGAGGGUGCAAGCGUUAUCCGGAUUCACUGGGUUUAAAGGGUGCGUAGGCGGGCAUUUAAGUCAGUGGUGAAAUACCUGAGCUUAACUUGGGAACUGCCAUUGAUACUAUUUGUCUUGAAUGUCGUGGAGGUUAGCGGAAUAUGUCAUGUAGCGGUGAAAUGCUUAGAUAUGACAUAGAACACCUAUUGCGAAGGCAGCUAACUACGCGAAUAUUGACGCUGAGGCACGAAAGCGUGGGGAUCAAACAGGAUUAGAUACCCUGGUAGUCCACGCCCUAAACGAUGAUUACUCGACAUUAGCGAAUACACUGUUAGUGUCUGAGCG
rnacentral:rRNA from 1 species